rnacentral:hammerhead_ribozyme from 1 species
AUCCAGAUGACGAGUCCCAAACAGGACGACAUGCACAUCUUGGAC